AACAUCUGGGAAAAUGUCAAGUGAUCAAUCUGAUUGUGUGCGCGUGCGCGGGCGUGCACCUGUCAUAAGCGACACAGAUGUUACAUAUCGGUUUCGUCAUUCCGUCGGAAAACCGAUGAAACUGGAGGGAUUUCAAACCAACAUCUGCAGAAACAACAAAUAGCUGCAGCUGGGGAUGGAGGGUUCCCAUUUGGUUCUCACCCACAGACUCCAGUUCAGAUUGACUCGGACAUGUCUGCUCACAGGCGACAAUGAGCAGACUGUCACCACAGCAACAGAGGGCACAGUGCCAGAUUAAGCAGUGUGAGGGCAAUUGUGGAGAUGACCAUCGGGAGACUAAAUGGUAAAUGGAGGUGUCUCCUAAAGAGAAAUUGAACCUUACGAAGAAGAGGGUUCUGGCCUGUUGUGUGUAGCAUCUGUGAAGAGCAAUGCUAUUAGUACUCUGAAGAUGUUCCAGUGAUGCAUGUGAACAUGGAGCCUCCUGUUCGUGUGUUACAAGAACAUCAACAGCAGAAGAAGCUGAUGUGUAUUUUAAGUCUGACUGAUGGACUGAGCAGAAUUGUACUGUAGGCAACUGUAUUUUUUAUAAAUAAUUUCUGUUUGUGCUGUACUGUACCUUCUCUGCUUUGCAUAUCUUUUUUUUUUUUACUGCAUGUGCAUCCACAAUACAAUAUUUAUUUAUUCACUGUUUUUCCAUGUAGCACAGUUGAGAGCAGUAGCAUUUUUGGCAUUUUACUGUACACGAUAUUGUAGCAAAGUUCUGUAUUAAAAGAAAAUAGAACUUUUUGACAUGUCAAACUAAAAUAAAAACAGACUUUGCAAA